rnacentral:rRNA from 1 species
UAGUCCACGCCGUAAACGAUGUGCACUAGAUUUGGGAGGUUUGACCCUUUCCGAGUCGCAGCUAACGCAUUAAGUGCACCGCCUGGGGAGUACGGUCGCAAGACUAAAACUCAAAGGAAUUGACGAGGGCCCGCACAAGCGGUGGAUUACGUGGUUUAAUUCGAAGCAACGCGCAGAACCUUACCUAGGCUUGAAAUCCUGAGAAUCCGACUGAAAGGUUGGAGUGCCCUUCGGGGAAUUCAGUGACAGGCGCUGCAUGGCUGUCGUCAGCUCGUGUCGUGAGAUGUUGGGUUAAGUCUCGCAACGAGCGCAACCCCUAUUUUUAGUUGCCAGCAUUAAGUUGGGCACUCUAGAGAGACUGCCUGGGCUAACCAGGGAGGAAGGUGGGGAUGGACGUCAAGUCCUCAUGGGCCCUUAUGUCUAGGGGCUACACACGUAAUACAAUGGUACAUACAAU